rnacentral:rRNA from 1 species
UACAGAGGGGGCAAGCGUUGUUCGGAAUUACUGGGCGUAAAGGGCGCGUAGGCGGCCUUCUAAGUCGAACGUGAAAUCCCCGGGCUCAACCCGGGAACUGCGUCCGAUACUGGAAGGCUUGAAUCCGGGAGAGGGAUGUGGAAUUCCAGGUGUAGCGGUGAAAUGCGCAGAUAUCAGGAGGAACACCGGUGGCGAAGGCGGUCUGCUGGGCAGUUGCUGACACUGAGGCGCGACAGCGUGGGGAGCAAACAGG